GAUCCCAGUGAUGACAGAUGACAUUGUCAGCCAAUCCCCACGUGGGAGUGAGGACAUGUCCUGCAAUUCUGAAGGGAUU
ensembl:snoRNA SNORD96 Small nucleolar RNA SNORD96 family